rnacentral:rRNA from 1 species
AGAGUUUGAUCCUGGCUCAGAGUGAACGCUAGCAACAUGCUUGACACAUGCAAGUUCUUAGCUUAUAAAGUUAUAAGCUAGAGCGCACAGGUGAGUAAGUCGUAUAAACUCUAAUAAACAGCAUAAUUAAUUGUUAUAUAAAAUCCAAAUAUUCUAUAGGUGAUCAUUGGGCUUAAAGCCCAAAAUAGAAUUAUGUGGUAUUAAAGGCCUUAGCGCCGCUGGUAUUGAGGUAUACGUAGGAUUAGGUAGUUGGUGAGGUAAUGGCCCACCAAGCCGAAGAUCCUUAGCUGGUCUAUGAGGACGAUCAGCCACAUUGGGAAUGAGAAACUCCCAACUCUCUCGUAGGGCAGCAGUGGGGAAUAUUGGACAAUGAGCUAAAAGCUUGAUCCAGCAAUGUUGCAUGAAUGAAGACGGUCUAACGAUUGUAAAGUUCGAUUUUUAGAGAAAAUUAUGAUAUUAUCUAAAAAGAAGUCUUGACUAACUUCGUGCCAGCAGUCGCGGUAAUACGGGGAAGGCAAGCGUUACUCGUCGUUAUUGGGCGUAAAGGGUGCGUAGGCGGUGUAGAAAAUUCUCUGCUAAAUCCAAGAAUUCGGUCUUCUUGAAGGUGGUUAAUAAAUUCUAUACUUCAUAAACUAUAAAAUGUAUGAGUAUUGCACAGGCUAAUAGUAUUUCCAAAGGAGAGGUGAAAUUCGGUGAUAAUGGGAAGACUACCAAUUUGCGAAGGCAAUUAACUAGUGUUAUACUGACGCUGAGGCACGAAAGCAUAGGGAGCAAAUAGGAUUAGAUACCCUAGUAGUCUAUGCUGUAAACUAUGGAUGUUAAAUGUCGGGUUACCGGUAUUCUAGCUAACGCGUUAAACAUCCCGCCUGGGGACUACGGUCGCAAGAUUAAAACUCAAAGGAAUUGACGGAGAUCCGUACAAGCGGUGGAGCAUGUGGUUUAAUUCGAUACUCCGCGAAAAACCUUACCAACUCUUGAUGGUUUAGCAAAGGCAAAGCCUUUUCAUAUUCUAGUUAAUGAUUAAAACUAAAUAUUUUAUUGCUAUACACAGGCAUUGCAUGGCUGUCGCCAGCCCGUGUUGUGAAAUGUUUGGUUAACUCCUUUCAACGGGCAAAACCCUCGCUUAUACUAAUUCAAAUUACUUUCUUAGUAAUGUUUUGUAUAAGGAUAAAUGAUGAAAAAUCAUUGGAAGGUGGGGAUCACGUCAAGUCAUCAUGAUCUUUAUGGGUUGGGCUACACACGUGCUACAAUGGCAGCUACAAAUAGAGGCAAAAAUGCGAAUUUGCGCAAACCUAAACAAAAGCUGUCUUAAGUUCGGAUUAUUUUCUGUAACUCGAAAAUAUGAAGUUGGAAUCGCUAGUAAUCGUAGAUCAGCACGCUACGGUGAAUAUGUUCUCGGAUCUUGUACACACCGCCCGUCACGCCCUGGAAAUUAGUUUUAUCUGAUAUGGAUAUUUAAAUAGUAAUUAAAUAUAUCAUAUUAUUAAAAAUGAUAUAGUGCUAUUUUUAAAGGGAACCCAAUAGGAUAACCCUAAUAACUGUGGUGAAGUCGUAACAAGGUAACC